ensembl:lncRNA
CAUCUUGACAGUGUUUCCUUGGCUCUCCUGGGAAGGUUGAGAUGCUAGAAUCCGGCAGAACUGGAACCAUCGCGAGCCACAGCAACCCCGAGCCUGGAUUCCGGGCUUCGGCUUUGUCUUUUGGUUAAUCAGGUCGUUGUGAGGCUCCGGACGACAAGUGAUUAGCCCAAGACGAUGGACAAACGGGAGUCCCCUUUAUGCCCGAGAUCCUUCUCCCGCCCCUCUGCAGAGAAAGACCCGUCUUGGGCCCACGUUCUCAGCUGGGGAGCCCAGAGCUCUGACUUCUGAGUCAUCUGCCCAAAGCUGGUUCCAACAGUGGCUUCAGUGUGCCUGCCAGCGAAAUGGGACGAGGAAACCGCGGUCCGUCAGGGUCCUCGAGGCAGCUUCAGAGUUCCUGCAAGUGGAAGGAAGUCUGGGGCCAGAACAGGAUUGGGCACCGACCCCCGCCAGCCUGGGCACGGCCCUGGUGUUUCUGCCUCUCUGGGCAGAAGCAUCUUGUCACACAAUGAAGAUCUUACCUGCCACCCUCCCACUUGGUGUGGUGGGAAUUGGAACACAGAAUGAAGAGCCAUACCAAAGAGAAAGGAGAGAGAGAGGCUGUGCCUGCCAAGCAGGUCCCCAGCUCCAGUGGGGCUCCAGCGGCAAGAAUCAUGCCAGCCACUCCAGAGACGCUCCCUCCUGGAACCCCCACAACUUCAGAGGAAUAAUCAACAUUAUCCUCAUUUUACAG